AUAUUUGAUGGGGAUUUAUUUGAAUUAAAAUUCAAAGUAUUUUAAUCUGCUAGACCCUCAUGGAAGAGGCACCUUUGCAGAGUUCCCGCCAUACCCACUGCACUUCAAGCAAAAGCACAGUCACUCUUCCCAUCACUCUACAUAACACCUAAAAGAGUGUUGUGAAGAGGAAAAAAAGAAAAAUUUCACAAAAAAGAGCCAAAUGUCUAUUAACUGAGUGAAAACAUUAACUUUUAAUUUCCCGCCCAGGCCACGCUCUUCAAACCUGUGUGUUUCCCGCACCCCUGGGAAGGCGAAGGGAAGGAGCUACAUUGUCAAGUGUGGUCCAGCAAGUAAGCAGGUCCUGAGCACCAAACAUAUCACAGGCACUCACUGCUUGGACCCACCAGUCAACAGGAGCCUGCUAGAUACAGCCAUGUGCCACUCCAACCUCCCUGAGGGCAUGGCCUAUGCACUAUUUGGACCCCAAAGGAAAAUGCAAGCUCCUUUCUCAGUUGGUACAGCAAAAUCGACGAAGCUAAUAUGGAUUUUGAUCAAGCAAAUUAGCAUUGAGAUUCCAGUUCUACUAUGUAAUAAAUGGCCUUAAACAAAUUAUUUUUGUGAGUACACAUUUUCUCACUCAGAUAAAUGAAACUAAUAAUGUCUUAACGAGAAAUUAGGAGGAUUAAAAGAGAAGUAUGAAAAGUAUGAACAAUAAUCUAAUACAGAAUCAGUGGGUCUAUAUUUAAAAUUGUCUUCUUCCUUCUGUAGUAAAAACAUAAAGUUGGCCAGGCGCAGUGGCUCACGCCUGUAAUCCCAGCACUUUGGGAGGCCAAGGCGGGCAGGUCACGAGGUCAGAGGGUCGAGACCAUCCUGACUAACACAAUGAAACCCCAUCUCUACUAAAAAUACAAAAAAAUUAGCUGGGCGUGGUGGUGGGCACCUGUAGUCCCAGCUACUCGGGAAGCUGAGGCAGGAGAAUGGCGUGAACCCGGGAGGCGAAGCUUGCAGUGAGCCGAGAUGGUGCCACUGCACGCCAGCCUGGGCGACAGAGCAAGACUCCGUCUCAAAAAAAAAAAAAAAAAAUGUUAAAAAUAGCUAUCAGUAUCUAUUGCUAGUCUAUAUAUGCAAUUUGUUCAAGUGAUUCUUUUCAAAUUAAGAGGAAGAGGAAG
rnacentral:lncRNA from 1 species